CAGGAGCACCGCUGCAGCCCCAGCACCGUGUUGGCUCUGCGGUCCUAUUGUAAAUGUGCAAGGGCUGACGCUGGGAACACCCAUGCUGGACAGUUAGAGAGUGAGCAAACAAUGGCAGGCUGGGGAUAAAGCUGCAUACGGACCUACACAUUCCUGUCCAGUUUGGUGGAACCACUUAAGGCAGGCUGCUAUAACGUGCAGGAGUCUGCCUACUCUGUGGAAAUG
rnacentral:lncRNA from 1 species